GCAAGUUGAAGCACAGGCUGGAAAAAAGCACACCGCCUGUAGCUGAAAACCUGUUGAAGGUAAUAAUAAACUUUCUCACUGGUGAACAUCAGAGAAAUCCCAGGAGUUCCUGAAUUUGUCACAGGAAGCCUCAAAUGAGUUGAAGUUCUGGUCUGGAGUCAUGGUCAUGCCUGGGUACAAAGAGCCUCUGCUUGUAGCUGUUCAGAAAAAAAGGAGUCCAGACUGUGGUGAGUGAUACAGCAAAAAGGUGGUGCUUGGGGCAUUAUUCUGACUGAACAGUUUA
rnacentral:lncRNA from 1 species